AACGCACAUUGCGCCCACCAGCAUUCUGGCGGGCAUGCCUGUUCGAGCGUCAUUUCCACCCUCGGGCCUACGGGUUCGGUGUUGGGGUCUUUGCACUUGCAAACCCCGAAAGACAGUGGCGGGCUCGCUGUGGCUCCGAACGUAGUACUAUACCUCGUUUUGGUGUCUGGCGGUGCCCUGCCGUAAAAGCUCCCUUUGGGGACGUUAGAUUGACCUCGGAUCAGGUAGGACUACCCGCUGAACUUAA
rnacentral:misc_RNA from 1 species